rnacentral:misc_RNA from 1 species
GAAAUGCGAUAAGUAAUGUGAAUUGCAGAAUUCAGUGAAUCAUCGAAUCUUUGAACGCACAUUGCGCCCGCCAGUAUUCUGGCGGGCAUGCCUGUUCGAGCGUCAUUUCAACCAUCAAGCCCCGGGCUUGUGUUGGGGACCUGCGGCUGCCGCAGGCCCUGAAAACCAGUGGCGGGCUCGCUGUCACACCGAGCGUAGUAGAUUCUCAUCUCGCUCAGGGCGUGCUGCGGGUUCCGGCCGGAAAACAGCCUUAUUUUACCCAAGGUUGACCUCGGAUCAGGUAGGAAGACCCGCUGAACUUAAGC